rnacentral:rRNA from 1 species
GACGAACGCUGGCGGCGUGCUUAAUACAUGCAAGUCGAGCGAGGUCCAUCUGGUGGCAACACCAGUGAAGGCCGAGCGGCGAACGGGUGAGUAACACGUGAGCAACCUGCCCCGAAGUCUGGAAUAACAUCGGGAAACCGGUGCUAAUACCGGAUCGCCCCACCUGACCGCAUGAUCGGGUGAGGAAAGAUUUAUCGCUUCGGGAGGGGCUCGCGGCCUAUCAGCUAGNGGUGGGGUAACGGCCUACCAAGGCAUCGACGGGUAGCUGGUCUGAGAGGACGACCAGCCACACUGGGACUGAGACACGGCCCAGACUCCUACGGGAGGCAGCAGUAGGGAAUCUUGCGCAAUGGGCGAAAGCCUGACGCAGCAACGCCGCGUGGGGGAUGACGGCCUCGGUU